rnacentral:rRNA from 1 species
CGGCAGUCAGAGCAUGUGGGCUAAGCUGUGUGCUCGAGAGGGAAACAGCCCAGACCGCCCGCUAAGGCCCCCAAUUCUCAGUUAAGUGGCAAAGGAUGUGCGUCCGCGCAGACAACCAGGAGGUUGGCUUAGAAGCAGCCACCCCUUCAAAGAGUGCGUAACAGCUCACUGGUCGAGUGGACAUGCGCCGACAAUACACGGGGCUAAACUGAGAGCCGAAGCGGCGGCAAUGAGAUUUCAUUGGGUAGGGGAGCGUCCCCAGCGGGGCGAAGCCGGAGGGUCACCGACGGUGGACUGCUGGGGAGUGAGAAUGCUGGCAUGAGUAGCGAGAGACGAGAGAGUAACUCGUCCGCCGUAAACCCGAGGUUUCCUGGGCGAGGCUAAUCCUCCCAGGGUCAGUCGGGGGCUAAGCCGAGGGCGGAAGCCGUAGGCGACGCGCAGCAGGUGGACAUUCCUGCACCGGAGAUGCACCGUCACGACCGACGGGGCGACGGAUUGGGGUGGCUCGGCGGGGUUCUGGACGUCCCCGUGAUGGAGCGCGGCCCGGAGACCAGGCAAAUCCGGUCUCCGCGAGGGCGAGGCUCCGGACGAAGCGCUUGAGCGAAGCGAGUGAGCCCGUGGUCCCCAGAAAAACCCCUAGGCAGGGGCAUCUCCGCCCGUACCGCAAACCGACACAGGUGGGUGGGUAGAACAUACCGAGGCGAUCGGGUCAACCAUGGUCAAGGAACUCGGCAAAAUGGCCCCGUAACUUCGGGAGAAGGGGCGCCGGCGCGUACGUGGACCCACUUGCUGGGCGAGCGGAGGCCGGCCGCAGUGAAGAGGCCCAAUCGACUGUUUACCAAAAACACAGGACUCUGCAGAAGGCGAGAGCCGACGUAUAGGGUCUGACGCCUGCCCGGUGCCGGAAGGUCACGCGGAGGGGUUAGCGCGAGCGAAGCCCCGAAGCCAAGCCCCGGUAAACGGCGGCCGUAACUAUAACGGUCCUAAGGUAGCGAAAUUCCUUGUCGGGUAAGUUCCGACCUGCACGAAAGGCGCAACGAAUUGGGCGCUGUCUCGACCAUGGACCCGGUGAAAUUCCACUAGUCGUGAAGAUGCGACUUACCCGCGGAAGGACGGAAAGACCCCGUGAACCUUCACUGCAGCUUGGCAUUGGCCGCUGGCCCGUCGCGUAGAGGAUAGGCGGGAGGCUUCGAAGCCCGGGCGCCAGCCCGGGUGGAGCCGACCUUGGAAUACCGCCCUCGGCGCGCCGGCGUCCUAACCCCAUGCCGUCAUCCGGAUGGGGGACCGUGCCAGGUGGGUAGUUUGACUGGGGCGGUCGCCUCCUAAAGGGUAACGGAGGCGCGCGAAGGUCCGCUCGGGACGGUCGGCAACCGUCCUCUUGAGUGCAAGAGCAUAAGCGGGCUUGACUGCGAGGCCUACAAGCCGAGCAGGUGCGAAAGCAGGCUCUAGUGAUCCGGCGGCCCCGCGUGGGUGGGCCGUCGCUCAACGGAUAAAAGGUACUCCGGGGAUAACAGGCUGAUCUUGCCCAAGAGUCCACAUCGACGGCAAGGUUUGGCACCUCGAUGUCGGCUCAUCGCAUCCUGGGGCUGGAGCAGGUCCCAAGGGUACGGCUGUUCGCCGUUUAAAGCGGUACGCGAGCUGGGUUCAGAACGUCGUGAGACAGUUCGGUCCCUAUCCUCCGCGGGCGCAGGAGAAUCGAGGGAGGCUGCCCCUAGUACGAGAGGACCGGGGUGGACGCACCUCUGGUGAACCGGUUGUCGACCAACGGCACGGCCGGGUAGCCACGUGCGGCGCGGAUAACCGCUGAAGGCAUCUAAGCGGGAAGCCGUUCCCGAGAUCAGUUCUCCUUUCGGUAAGGGCCCAGGUAGACUACCUGGUCGAUAGGCCGCAGGUGCAAGCACGGCGACGUGCUCAGCCGAGCGGUACUAAUAGCCCGAGCUCUUACCCG